CCUACGGGAGGCAGCAGUGGGGAAUAUUGCACAAUGGGGGAAACCCUGAUGCAGCGACGCCGCGUGAGUGAAGAAGUAAUUCGUUAUGUAAAGCUCUAUCAGCAGGGAAGAAAAUGACGGUAACUAAGUAAGACGCCCCGGCUAACUACGUGCCAGCAGCCGCGGUAAUAAGUAGGGGGCAAGCGUAAUCCGGAUUUACUGGGUGUAAAGGGCGCGUAGACGGCAGGGCAAGUCUGGAGUGAAAGGCGGGGGCUCAACCCCCGGACUGCUCUGGAAACUGUACGGAUGGAGUGCAGGAGAGGUAAGUGGAAGUCCUAGUGUAGCGGUGAAAUGCGUAGAUAUUAGGAGGAACACCAGUGGCGAAGGCGGCUUACUGGACUGUAACUGACGUUGAGGCUCGAAAGCGUGGGGAGCAAACAGGAUUAGAUACCCGUGUAGUC
rnacentral:rRNA from 1 species